rnacentral:rRNA from 1 species
AACUUUCAACAACGGAUCUCUUGGUUCUGGCAUCGAUGAAGAACGCAGCGAAAUGCGAUAAGUAGUGUGAAUUGCAGAAUUCAGUGAAUCAUCGAAUCUUUGAACGCACAUUGCGCCCCUUGGUAUCCCGAGGGGCAUGCCUGUUCGAGCGUCAUUUCACCACUCAAGCCCGGCUUGGUGUUGGGCGACGUCUCCUUUAGGGACGCGCCUCGAAACGCUCGGCGGCGUGGCACCGGCUUUAAGCGUAGCAGAAUCUUUCGCUUUGAAAGUCGGGGCCUCGUCUGCCGGAAGACCUACUCGUAAGGUUGACCUCGGAUCAGGUAGGGAUACCCGCUGAACUUAAGCAUAUCAAUAAGCGGA